rnacentral:lncRNA from 1 species
CGGACUCCUCAAAGUCUCAAACUUCUCUGUAUUUGGGCUUCUUACAAAUUCAAUCACUUUCUAACUGUCUUUCUGAGAAGAAAAGGAUUCACUCAAGCCUAAAAGCGCUGAAACCAAUGGCGUCUUCACUAUCAACCACGGCUGCAGCUUCUGCUUCUGCGGUGGCCAAAACCUCUGCCAAUUUGCCUAAUUAUAGUAAUUGCAGCCUCUCUAGAGUUUCCUUUCGCCUUUCUCCUAAGCCAAAGCUUCGAUUUUUCGCCAAGGUAUUUAUUUUUUUUAUAUUUUUUUAAAGGUGAAGUUAAUUAGUUCUUGUUUUUGCUUUAACUGUUGUGAUUUACCUGGUUUUCUUGAAUUACUGGGUAAAUGUGAGGAAGAAAAAAGGAUUUCGUUAGUUUAACGUGUUUUGGGAGCUAUAGGUUUGUUUAUUAUUUGGAUUUGUUAAGUUUGAGAUUGCUUUAGCUGAUAAUGUUUUUGCAUUUCGGUUUUAGGAAGAAAUUGAAUUUAAUUUCAAGUUUUUUGUACUUCAGUUAGUUAUUUACUCUGUUACUGUUGCCUUGGGAACUAAAGCAGACUGCUAGUAUGUUUAGAUUUGUGAUUUCUCUCUUUAUCACAAAGUGUUGAUUUUGAAUGACUGGAAAUGUAAAGAAGAAAAGGAGAUUGAUAAAAAAAAGAAAGAAAAAAAGGAAAGAAAUUAUGGUUCUUAAUAUUGAAUAUGAAAUUUUUGAUGCAAGGUGACUUAAUAGAAUCAAUUUGGAAGUUAGGUAGUUUUAUUCCAUCAAUUGAUUGGGAUGAUUGAAUUCUUUUAUAGAAUUAUUAGUUCUAUUUGAUUUUACAUUUUUUGGUUUAUUGAGAGUCCAAUCAGCAUGUUCAUUUAUGAAAUUUCCUUGCUUGUGCCAUUUGAUACAAUCCAUUGCGAUUGAAUUAUGAUCCACUCUGGAGAGUGGACUUAAUUUUAAUGUUUUUUCUGGUUCAUUGCUUUUUUCCUCACCAUUAGUUUUUUUUAACGCACCUUCUUUUAGUAUAAACAGCUUUUCUUGGGAAAACUAGAUAUAAAAAGAACAAAAAAAAAAAAAAAAAAAAAAAAAAAUUUUGUAUGUAACAUUUCCCAAUAAACGCUCUGUCGUCUGGACUUUUUUAUUUAUGCCAAGCAAGCAAAAACCCUGAAGCGGACAGGUGCUAGUCCAGCAAGGCGAGUAUACUCAUAUCUAUACUUUUCUUUCUCAUUGGUUUCAUCGAUCCUCAGCUCUAAAGAGAGAAACGCCUUUCUUCUCUGUCUCUUCACUCCUGUGGCGGACUCCUCAAAGUCUCAAACUUCUCUGUAUUUGGGCUUCUUACAAAUUCAAUCACUUUCUAACUGUCUUUCUGAGAAGAAAAGGAUUCACUCAAGCCUAAAAGCGCUGAAACCAAUGGCGUCUUCACUAUCAACCACGGCUGCAGCUUCUGCUUCUGCGGUGGCCAAAACCUCUGCCAAUUUGCCUAAUUAUAGUAAUUGCAGCCUCUCUAGAGUUUCCUUUCGCCUUUCUCCUAAGCCAAAGCUUCGAUUUUUCGCCAAGGUAUUUAUUUUUUUUAUAUUUUUUUAAAGGUGAAGUUAAUUAGUUCUUGUUUUUGCUUUAACUGUUGUGAUUUACCUGGUUUUCUUGAAUUACUGGGUAAAUGUGAGGAAGAAAAAAGGAUUUCGUUAGUUUAACGUGUUUUGGGAGCUAUAGGUUUGUUUAUUAUUUGGAUUUGUUAAGUUUGAGAUUGCUUUAGCUGAUAAUGUUUUUGCAUUUCGGUUUUAGGAAGAAAUUGAAUUUAAUUUCAAGUUUUUUGUACUUCAGUUAGUUAUUUACUCUGUUACUGUUGCCUUGGGAACUAAAGCAGACUGCUAGUAUGUUUAGAUUUGUGAUUUCUCUCUUUAUCACAAAGUGUUGAUUUUGAAUGACUGGAAAUGUAAAGAAGAAAAGGAGAUUGAUAAAAAAAAGAAAGAAAAAAAGGAAAGAAAUUAUGGUUCUUAAUAUUGAAUAUGAAAUUUUUGAUGCAAGGUGACUUAAUAGAAUCAAUUUGGAAGUUAGGUAGUUUUAUUCCAUCAAUUGAUUGGGAUGAUUGAAUUCUUUUAUAGAAUUAUUAGUUCUAUUUGAUUUUACAUUUUUUGGUUUAUUGAGAGUCCAAUCAGCAUGUUCAUUUAUGAAAUUUCCUUGCUUGUGCCAUUUGAUACAAUCCAUUGCGAUUGAAUUAUGAUCCACUCUGGAGAGUGGACUUAAUUUUAAUGUUUUUUCUGGUUCAUUGCUUUUUUCCUCACCAUUAGUUUUUUUUAACGCACCUUCUUUUAGUAUAAACAGCUUUUCUUGGGAAAACUAGAUAUAAAAAGAAAAAAAAAAAAAAAAAAAAAAAAAAAAAUUGAGGUUUGCAUGAAAACAGCUAAAAGGGUGCCACGUUAUUAUGUCACUUCGGCACACCUAAAAUUUAAUCUGACAACAUUGCCUUUUUGGACGACACGAAUAUCUGUCAUUAAUGUAAUUUGGCUUACUCAGAGCCAUGGUUUAUUGAGAAUGAAAUUAUACUGUAUUUACACCUGUUGCUAUUUAUUAUUUUCUUUAUGGUUAACAAAAAUGGUGAACUUGGACAUUAUAACAUAUGGUGAACUUUUAUAUUCUACGUUUCAACAUUUCAAUGUUUUCACUUCCUUUCCAACUUUUUCUUGGCAUCCAAAGCAGUCGAUUGUUAAUAGGUCCAUCAGUAACUGUUAUAUAUGAAUUUGGAAUUCAAUCAAGCAGCACCAGCUAGAAUCUUGCUGUCUAUAACAAAUCAUUAUAGCAUCAUUCAUUCUCUCUCUCUCUCGGUAUGAUAAUUAUUAUAUAUCAACAUUUCCUCGUCGGAUUAUGUAAAUAAGAUAAUAAUUUAGUAUCUCUUGCAAAUUCAUUCGAUUUUUCAUGCCGAUUUUAGAUUCUGUUUCAAAUCUUAUGAUAAUUUAGUAGCACAGAAUAUGUUGUGCUUGUUGAGAUGCAAAUUUAAAUUGUUCUUCUUGGCAGAUUUGGUCAUUUUAUUUUAUCUGAUAGCUUUGUCUUAUGACUUAAGGUGAUGCAUCCAUUAAUUAGUGUGAUAUUGAGAGAUCAUUUACACUUGAUCAAUAUACACUUUUUAUUGCAGAUAUCUAAUUUAUGUCUUUACCAUUUUAUCACCAAAAUAUCCUUUGAAAUUUUCUUGUAAGAAUUCCAAAGCUUGUUUAGAGUCGUGCUUCACACUUGGAUUCAGAAGUUUACAAAUCUUUAGUUGUUUCCUAGAGUCAAAAUUUUCGUUUAAUUGUUUAUUUAUAGAUUUAUAUUCACUAAAGUUGCAUGUGUUUAUUUUGAUCAACAUUUGGGAAUUAAUUACUUCUAGGCUUUUGCCAACGCAAAAGAGGCAUGCAGGCCAACUUUUAACAUUGCACUGAGUGAUGCUAUAUGCAAGGGUUCUGGUGGUCAAAUCAACUGAUAACUAGGUUCCACUUAUCAGACACCAUGCCUAUUACAUUGAUUUUACUGCACUAAAUGAACAUAGAAGGUUCCAUUUGAAAUUCAAGUGAGGAGAAUUAUGCAUGUCCGUGAAAUAGAUGCAAGUUUUAUUAAUCCAGGAGAAAGUAAUUGAACUCAUGCUGCUGGAUGAACUACCUAUCAAUGCUUCCAUGUUUACCCCUAUGAUAGAAGGUUCAGCAUAAAUUUAGAACCUGAAGUUGCAACUUAACCUAUUUUCUAAAAAUAGUGAAAUCAUAAAAUGGGAUGCAACUUCCUUUUUCCCUUUUGAAACUCUUUUAAAGCUGUUGACUUGAUGUGUUCAUCACUCUGUUGCCACUUGCCAGAAUAAUAAUUAUAUAUCCUUUUUCCUAGAUCUACCCAUAUUAAUUAUCAAAAAAUAAUUGGAUCUGUAAUUGCACUGCGUAUGUCGAUGGGUACAGUGUCUGGGUCCAAUAGUGCAAAUGCAGAGUCUUGUGCUGGCUGGCGUUCUAGAAUGAUCAGUGAAAUGGUUGCUUAAGACUGAACAGUGUUCCUCUCUCUCUUUCUUUGUCUUAAUUGUCAAUUUACUACACUGUAUGUUAUUUUUGGUUUCCUUGUACUUGAGGAUGAUUUAUGCACAAGUCUAAUAUUUAUAAUAGUAUCAGCCAUCUUGGAACUGAUGUAUUGUUUUUACUCGUUAUUCUUUGUGUGGAAUCCUUCACUUGGUAGGAUUCUUGUGCCAACUUAAAGAAAUUGAGAACCAUUUAAUAUUUAUGUAUUAACUUUUCAGUUUAGAACAUUCAAUUUCAAGUUUAUUUUAGCAUGCAAAGAGUAAAAUUGGUCUCUGCAAUGUAGGGUCUGCAGCCUGGUCAUAACAAUUCCACUUUAGUGAAAGCUCAACUGAAUGAGGUAAGGUUCUUUCAACAGUUUUCAUUUGAAGAUCUUUUUUCAAAUUUUCGUUCCUUCCUGGACAUGCUUUUGGGCUCAUCUGUUGCCUUCAAGGUUGCUGUGGAUGGGCCCUCAAAUGCUGCUGCUUCACCUCCAACCAGAUCGGGAGUACCAUCACAAGAAAAAAAGGAUGCUAAGCCAUCAAAUGAGCCUUCGGCUCCAGCUUUGGCUACGGAGGAGUCAAUAUCCG